rnacentral:rRNA from 1 species
GGCCCCUUCGGGGGUACACGAGUGGCGAACGGGUGAGUAACACGUGGGUAAUCUGCCCUGCACUUCGGGAUAAGCCUGGGAAACCGGGUCUAAUACCGGAUAUGAACUCCUGCCGCAUGGUGGGGGUUGGAAAGUUUUUCGGUGCAGGAUGAGCCCGCGGCCUAUCAGCUUGUUGGUGGGGUAAUGGCCUACCAAGGCGACGACGGGUAGCCGGCCUGAGAGGGUGAUCGGCCACACUGGGACUGAGACACGGCCCAGACUCCUACGGGAGGCAGCAGUGGGGAAUAUUGCACAAUGGGCGAAAGCCUGAUGCAGCGACGCCGCGUGGGGGAUGACGGUCUUCGGAUUGUAAACCCCUUUCAGUAGGGACGAAGCGCAAGUGACGGUACCUGCAGAAGAAGCACCGGCUAACUACGUGCCAGCAGCCGCGGUAAUACGUAGGGUGCGAGCGUUGUCCGGAAUUACUGGGCGUAAAGAGCUCGUAGGCGGUUUGUCACGUCGUCUGUGAAAUCCCUCGGCUUAACCGGGGGCGUGCAGGCGAUACGGGCAGACUUGAGUACUACAGGGGAGACUGGAAUUCCUGGUGUAGCGGUGAAAUGCGCAGAUAUCAGGAGGAACACCGGUGGCGAAGGCGGGUCUCUGGGUAGUAACUGACGCUGAGGAGCGAAAGCAUGGGUAGCGAACAGGAUUAGAUACCCUGGUAGUCCAUGCCGUAAACGGUGGGCGCUAGGUGUGGGGUCCUUCCAC